UACGUAGGGGGCUAGCGUUGUCCGGAAUCAUUGGGCGUAAAGCGCGCGUAGGCGGCCCGAUAAGUCUGCUGUGAAAGUCCAGGGCUCAACCCUGGAAUGCCGGUGGAUACUGUCGGGCUAGAGUUCGGAAGAGGCAAGUGGAAUUCCUGGUGUAGCGGUGGAAUGCGCAGAUAUCAGGAAGAACACCCGUGGCUAAGGCGGCUCUCUAGUACGGUACUGACGCUGAGACGCGAAAGCGUGGGGAGCGAACAGG
rnacentral:rRNA from 1 species